UACGUAGGGCGCAAGCGUUUAUCCGGAAUUAUUGGGCGUAAAGAGCUCGUAGGCGGUUUGUCGCGUCUGCCCGUGAAAGUCCGGGGCUCACUCCGGAUCUGCGGUGGGGUACGGGGCAGACUAGAGUGAUGUAGGGGAGACUGGAAUUCCUGGUGUAGCGGUGAAAUGCGCAGAUAUCAGGAGGAACACCGGUGGCGAAGGCGGCUACCUGGACCGGUUCUGACGCUGAGGCGCGAAAGCGUGGGGAGCGAACAGG
rnacentral:rRNA from 1 species